GCGACCCCAGGUCAGGCGGGAUUACCCGCU
rnacentral:ncRNA from 23 species